CAGGGCCUCAGUUUCCCCAGCUUUGAGUUUGAAAUCCUCUCUUGGUGCCUGUCCGCUCAAUCAGGAAGGAGCAUUAAGACCAAGAGGGAUUUCGCAGCUGCAGUACACAUGGCCCUGUCCUCAGAAGCCCCAGUCUGAGAUGAGAAGCACAGCCCUGGCCUUGGGAGCCCUCAAACCCAGAGAUGGGAGCUUGCCUACCUGUCUACCCAUCGGCCUGGACCCCAGAGCCUGCCCAGCUAAGUGCGUACAGAGGGCCCCGGUUUCGGGGCGACUCUCAGGCUGCCGCAGAGACCACCCUGGAAUCGCUGGCGAAGACAGGCCUUUCCUGCUGAGCCAGACCUUGUCUACACAGCCUGCUCAGGCGCUGUCCACGCCCCGAGGCCUGGGCUCAGGCCGAAGUUGCUCCACAGCACCCCCAGCUGACAGCCAGCAACUGGCAGAGCCCCCAGGCCCGGGGGCCCUCUCUCUCCCAGAGAUCUCCAGUGUGACAGCCCAGGCGGCAGAGCCGAGGGUCCUGGUCCCGGCUUCUCGCACCCUCAUGUCAGCCCCGGCCCCGCCCGGCGGC
rnacentral:lncRNA from 1 species